GAUCUUUGUUCUCUGGGUUCAGUUUCUCACAGGUUUGUUUCCAUGAAUCAUGGACUCUCCCUCAUGCAGGUUUGUCGGACGCGGCUGCUUAUUGUUUAUACAUCAACAGAGUGUUGGCGGCUUUUCUACACAGCAAAGCAGAUCCGUCAGAGCUGGGAUAUGAAAUUGGAACGCCGCUGUAUCUCGGGCUGACGGGAAGUUUCCUGGUGUUCCUCGGCUGCGGCGUUCACUGUGCAACUGUCUGCAGAGGAAACAAUCCAGAAAGCGAACAUCUCGUGGUUUCCCUGAUGAGAGAAAAGGACGAGUUCACAGGAAAAAACCCACCAAAGAAUAAAGACUCCCGGAGCGUGUGUGUGUACGAGGUGACUUCUGU